CUCUGCUGUUUCCUCUGUGAGUACUAUGUGUGAUGCCAGAAACCUGAGCCAGAAUACCCAGGUCCUGACCAACAGCAACUCUAAGGCAAUAAAUGUUAAUUAUUGCCUUAAGCUGCCCAGUCUGGAGCUCGGAGACAGCCCCCUGUGUAAGAUGAUGAGUGUGAUUAAUUGCAAUCAGCUCCUUUCCACAUAAUGAGGAAGCUGGAUGUCAUCUUGUGGCUUCUGUCCAAGUUGAUGCAGUUACCCUUUAUGUCCACAGGAUGCCGCUAUCGAUCAUACUUUGACUAUGCAGCCAAGCCAAGGAUGCUCAAGCUUUAUAACCUGUGUUUUUUUUAUGGACUAGCAUCCUGGGAUGUCUUUUCAGGCCAACAGAUAGAAAGACUUCACCUCCACUGAGGUUAUGCCCCCUGUGGCGUUCUUAGCUGGUGGUUAAUAAUUCGCCCUCUCUCUAAUCAGCGGUGAAAACGACCAGGCUGGAGCUGGACGUCAAGCCUUGGGCACCUGAAGAAGACCGAAGACCAGCAAGGCAUAUAGAUGUUCCAGAAGGACACUAGGUCUCAAAAGAUCCUUAGGAUUCCCUUAAACAUGUGGACCUCAGAGGGCAGGGCACAGUACCAGGGAGGACAGAUGCAUAGAGGGCAAAGCAACCUGGAAGAGGGGGUGCAAAUGUGCAGAGCUCACAACCUGGGGGUGGGAGCAGGCCUCAGGGGAAAAUAGACUCCAGCCAGUGGAACAGGUUAAGGGCUCAGGGUCACAUAAGAUCCUGGCUCUGUUCCCUACCAGCUGGGACCACUGAACAGAGCAAUGGGCCUCAUAGCAUCACCUGCAAAACCAAUAAUGGCUACAAAUGAUGCUGCUGCAAGUUUAAGGGUGCAAUGAAAGAAUCUAGAAAUUAUAGGAAGUGUUUCAUGGCUGCCGCUUUUAUAAUCA